CAUUCAUAUAUCAACCAUCACCUAAUUUUUAGUCUAGCCAGAUCAGCUAAAUCACUUUAAUUUCUCAAGUCUAGCAUAUGCUUCAGCACUAGUUCAAUUCACAACCAAACACUUGUACUCUAGGUAGCAUAUAGUGCUUUUAUAUUUAAUUUAGUUUUGUUUCUACACAGGUGUUUAUAUAGCUUACAUACAAUUAAAUUGAAAUCUUAAUUAUCUGGGAUGGUUUGACAUAGCUUACAACCUGACAUGUUCCAUGGUGUAAACUUGACAUCUACAAGGUUGAUCAGAAUCUAAUUUCUUAUGAUAUUAUUUUAAAUCAAGUUGCGGCAUGUUACUAGAAGUGGCAAGAAGUGAUUUUGCUUGCGUGUAAAACUCGUGAAAAAAGUUUGGCCACUAAGUACAACAAGCAUGUCAUUCAAAACUCGUUGGAUCUUGCAUUUUAAGUUGUCUUCUUUCGUAUUACACUUCUAUGUUCUGCCACAACCAUCCAUGUACUAGUUUCUAAUGACUUUCAUAAAACAUUGUCCUUGACCUCACUUCUAUUUUGUUUCCAAGAACUUGUUGCUCAAUGUAAUUUUAUUUUUUCUGUCCCAUAUUCUGAUUAUUCUUCAAGGAACAUGUGUCCUCUCUUCAUAAAUAUUUCUCUUUUCCUUUGUUACAUUUCUGUCUUUCAUAAAACAUGUGGUGUUUGCAUUAGUAUGUCUACUAGAUGUAUCAUUAGCAAGUGAAAAAUGACUAUCAGUCAAUCUAAUUUUGUUUAUUAACUAACAAUCUAUACUAACAAAAUUAUGUUUCCCUAUUAUCAAAACUUUGUUUCUGUACUAAGCGACACAAUGUUGUGAACUUUUUAUUUAGUGUGAUCUCCUGGGGUAUGAUUAUCAGUGGAAAUGGAUGCAUUGCUGCUGUUGGGAGACACCUCUAUCUUUUGAUGCCUUGUGAAUUGCAACUAUUGCAGAAACGGCAAGUGGCUGGAACUCUGCAAGUAGUAAACAGGCUUCAAGCAGGGAGAUUCAAAACUACCGAUGGAAUGGGCCCUGCACGCUAUGAUUUUUCUGGAGCAAUGGUCUUUCUGAAGCCCAGGUGAUUGAUAGUGGCCAGACAGCUAUCCACCUAAUUAUGUUACCUCUCUUUCAGUUUGAUCACAAAUUUACAACCGCUAAUCAUCUUUUCAGAUCUUAUGAGGCAAAGUAGCUUUUCUUGAGAAUAUUAGCACUCCUUCAUCAGCAGAAAUGUUGCAAAUGGAAUACAUCAGUACAGCCAGUACAAUCUCGUGAAAAAAGACCUCGGAAUAUCAUCUGCAGAACAAAAUGUUCUAUAUGCAAAGAAACUUCAACAUCUGGACGAAGUUCAGGAGACGGAUCCCAGGCAGGUCAUGCAAUUUGUCACGGCUCUUUCAGAGUAGUUAGCAUUGGAAAGUGAUAACAAUAACUAUUCUCGAAAUUAUUUAACUGUGCUGAGUUACUUCUCAGUUCUCACCCAAAGGAAAAAGUA